CAACCAUGCUAGCAGCACAAAAUGCCCAAAAACCAAUACAGGGCCUCACAGGGAAUAGAAUAUCUGUCCCGACGCCACCUGAACAGAGGCCCACCCCGAGCCCCCAGAGCAGCCUCCAGACAGUGUCAACCUCAGAGUUCAAGACGGUGGGGAACGGCGACGUGCCUUCCGGACUCUGGCACCCACCCGCACACAUACCAGCGACAGACCAAGCCCGCAUGAUUCACAUACCGCUCAGCAACACCGGAAUCUUCC